UGAGGAAUAUUGGACAAUGGAUGGAAAUCUGAUCCAGCCAUGCCGCGUGCAGGAAGACGGCCCUAUGGGUUGUAAACUGCUUUUGUAUGGGAGCAAUAAGGACUACGUGUAGUUUGAUGAGAGUACCAUACGAAUAAGCAUCGGCUAACUCCGUGCCAGCAGCCGCGGUAAUACGGAGGAUGCGAGCGUUAUCCGGAUUUAUUGGGUUUAAAGGGUGCGUAGGCGGCGAUAUAAGCCAGUGGUGAAAUAUUUCGGCUUAACCGAGAGACUGCCAUUGAUACUGUGUUGCUAGAAUAUGGUUGCUGUGAGUGGAAUGUGUGGUGUAGCGGUGAAAUGCUUAGAUAUCACACAGAAUAUCGAUUGCGAAGGCAGCUCACAAAGCCAUUAUUGACGCUGAGGCACAAAAGUGUGGGGAUCAAACA
rnacentral:rRNA from 1 species